UACGUAGGGUGCGAGCGUUGUCCGGAAUUACUGGGCGUAAAGAGCUCGUAGGUGGUUUGUCGCGUUGUUCGUGAAAUCUCACGGCUUAACUGUGAGCGUGCGGGCGAUACGGGCAGACUGGAGUACUGCAGGGGAGACUGGAAUUCCUGGUGUAGCGGUGGAAUGCGCAGAUAUCAGGAGGAACACCAGUGGCGAAGGCGAUCAUCUGGGGUUGUUCUGACACUGAGGAGCGAAAGCUAGGGGAGCAAACGGG
rnacentral:rRNA from 1 species